AGCGAACGCUGGCGGAAUGCUUAACACAUGCAAGUCGCACGGUCAGCAAUGGCAGUGGCGGACGGGUGAGUAACGCGUAGGAAUAUGUCCAGAGGUGGGGGACAACCCCGGGAAACUGGGGCUAAUACCGCAUAUGAGCUGAGGCUCAAAGCAGUGAUGCGCCUUUGGAGUAGCCUGCGUCCGAUUAGCUUGUUGGUGGGGUAAAGGCUUACCAAGGCGACGAUCGGUAGCUGUCUGAGAGGACGACCAGCCACACUGGGACUGAGACACGGCCCAGACUCCUACGGGAGGCAGCAGUGGGGAAUAUUGGACAAUGGGCGCAAGCCUGAUCCAGCAAUUCCGCGUGGU
rnacentral:rRNA from 1 species